rnacentral:tRNA from 1 species
GGAGGGUAUAGCUCAGUGGUAGAGUACAUGCUUAGCAUGCAUGAGGUCCUGGGUUCAAUCCCCAGUACCUCCU